GUGUGUGUGUGUGUGUGUGUCUACACUCACACAUACACACCCCACGCUUGAAGGUCUUAAUUUGGUUUCUUGGUCCAAGUCGAUGAGGUCCAAGCCUUUCUAUACAAUACUGCAUUUAGAAAAUUUGUUUUUCCUAAGUGCACAAUAUAGACAGGUUUGAAGCAGAGAAUUUUCCCUUUUGAUGCUCUGGUUUCAUUGGUGAACACGGUACUAGGAACCAGUAGACGGAAUACUUCUUAAAGUUUGGAGGUCUCAGGCUCACCUCCUGUGAUCCUGGGUGAUGCUGGAAAAUUCUCUGUGAAGAAACUUACAGUAAUGCUGUCGCCUCAUUCAUUUUUAAUGAGUACAGAUGAGCUGUUUAAAAAUCCUUUUUCCCUUCUAAUUAAUGUAGCUUUCCGAUGAAAAAAACCAACCCAGGACCUCGGCUUCCUUUGGUGUGCGCUUUUUUUUUAAAUUAUUUUUUUUAACAACUGUAAGACACUACCCUGAAACAUUGUGUUUCAACUCCCCCACCCCCUCUCUUAUUGAAUUGUGCUUUUAAAACAAAAUCAAUGGGGAAAGGAAUUAACUUUUUAAAGCCAGUGUAUUCUGUUUUUUAAAAAACAAAACAAAAACAAAAAAUGGUGCCUCUUGUGCAACUCUCUUGGUGUCGUCUCUGGAUGGUUUGCUCUUCCUGUUCUUCAGUUGGCUUCCUUGUGCCCCUUGGAGCCAUCAUCACCACCUCCAUCCCACAGCAGGCCACCAGGAUCACCUCAGUUUCCACCUUAAACUUUGUGUUUUAUUUCACCUUAAAGAACAAAUUUCAUAUUCUGGUGAUGACAGAGGUCCCUAGAAAUAGCCCACAUUCUUGCUAAACCAUUCUACUUUAAUGACUAAAUAUUUCAGGGUGGUUUCUUGGUGGAUUUUUUUGCCUUCCUGGUAAUAUGUAUACAUAUAUAUUUUAAGGGGAAAGUCUCUAAUGGGCACCCUUUUGUAAGCCUGGCAAAUUGCUGAUACGCUAAUUAAGUAUUUCCUGUCUAUUUUGAAGGUGAGUACAGUAAAGCUCUUCAAGACAAAUAUUUUAAUUUUCUGGGUUGGUUGGACAAGUAUGUGCAAGAAAGACCCGGAUGUAGUAAAGUGUUAGUAACAAGGGGGAGGGCCCAGAGGCCCUAGGCAUCAUGGGUGUUCCUGGGGACACACACUCACUGCUUCAUUUGACGUUAUGUUAGUUUGAAGACACCCCCUUUUAAGUUCCCCAUGCCAUUCUUAGUGCUGUGACAAAUUUUUUAAAUAUUUAUAAACUGUUAAUAAAUUUGCUAUCAAAAGGUUGCAGGAUAAGGGCUUCUCCUUUCUUGUCAGAAUUGCCAGUUUGAAGGCAUAGAGGGUAAAGUCUUCCCCUCCUAACAUAAUUAAGCAGAAUUAGGUUUCCCUGAGUUCAGGCUAGCAGUGUUGUUCACUCAAGCCCAAAGCUUGCCGUCUUGGCCAGAGUAGCUGUGACCGCAGAACAUUGGGUUUGCGUGUGCCUAGGUGGCACAGGGAUUCCUGAACAGGCAAAAGGAUGCUUCAGGGACUUGCUGAUGUGGCCCAUAGCCUCCUUCAGGGAGAGCAUGAGGCCAGAGUGAUAGCUGGGACCCAGGAAGAUAGGGAUGGCUGUGGUGACCCUGGCUGAAAGGUUACCUCCAUGGAGAGUCCCCUUCUAAGGCACCUGCAAAGCUGUGUUCUCAGUCUUUAUUCAGGCCCCAGGUCAGGGCUGGAGACACACUACCAGCCUUAGGGACACAAAGUGACCAGAAAUUAGUUGAGUGUAACUUGUGUUAGAGCCCCAGCCCAGCAUGGAAAGUGGUGGGAGGAGAGCUGAGAGUCUGGACUCUGAGCUGCCAUAUUAGUGUCCAGUUGCACAGGAAUCAUACAUGAAAAUUAAUUUAUUUUGUAAGUUAAAAGUGACAUUCACUUUCCAGCCAUUCAGAGGGUUCUGAACUAAGCCACUGAAAUCGAAUUGAAUCAGGGGAUCCCAAAUAAAAAGAUCAUAUUAAGGCAAAUUCUUUGUGCUGUUUACUGCUGUGACUUCAGAAAAAAAAACAAAAAACAAAAAAACAAAAACAAUUCUGAGUGCUCUUCCAGGAAUUGAAAAUUCUAUUUAAUGAAGAAGUGUAUAAUUCCAUUAUUUAUUGUUUGUGGUUUGAUUUAUCUGGAAGCUUGAGAGAAUGUCCUUUGUUUAUACUAGACCCCAGUCCUGUGCUGUAUUCUAUGGUAACGGAAGGGCUGUCCAGUUGCUGAUGUGGUUGUGGUGACCAUGCAGGUCUGCCCCUGAAUUUGUUAUCAGAGAAGCAGUCUGUGGCCCUAGGAGAGAAAACAGCCCCUCAUAACACAGCCCGUUGACUCAAAAUUCACACUGAGUCUUUUGCGCUUCUUUUGAAAUUUAUUAUUUAAGCCUAUUACUAAAACUUUAUAAAAUGCAUUUGGCGAAUACACCAAAGAAACCAGCUCAUAAAAUAUGAUCAUUAACGAACUGCAAACCUCAUCUUUUGAAAACAAGGGUGUUUCUUUGUAAAUAUUUGUGUUUAUAAAUGUACAGCAGAGUUAAGAGUGUUUUUUUAGAUUAUUUAAUUCCCAUAUUUCUAAACUAUUUACUACAGAAUAACCCCUGCUUAUUAGUUUGGGUGACUUGAUUGUUUGUUUUUUUUUUUUUUAAUUCAUUACCAGUCAUGCUUGGAGUGACGAUUCUGCUGGAGAGGUCAGCACUCUGGCAGUGGCUGGAGUCGCUUGUAAAGCAUGGGGGAGACUAGCAUGACCUGUCAGACUCCUCCCUCGUAAGACACCAGGAAAGCGUAGCUUAAUGGCCAGAGUGGACCAUGAGAAAGAGUUUCUAACUUCCCUACUGAAUCACCUGUUAGCCCAGGGUGGAAUUGGGACAAGGCUGUUUGCCCACAAAUUUAGCUUUCAUGUAACUCCCAGUGUGUUGUAUCAUAAUAUAUUCUGUUCUUUCUUUGUAACGUAAGUUUUGCUUUGGGUCGAUUUG
rnacentral:lncRNA from 1 species